rnacentral:rRNA from 1 species
UACGUAGGGGGCAAGCGUUGUCCGGAUUUAUUGGGCGUAAAGAGCGUGUAGGCGGCCUGGCAGGUCCGUUGUGAAAACCCGAGGCUCAACCUCGAGAUGUCGGCGGAAACCGUCUGGCUAGAGUCCGGAAGAGGAGAGUGGAAUUCCUGGUGUAGCGGUGAAAUGCGCAGAUAUCAGGAAGAACACCUAUGGCGAAGGCAGCUCUCUGGGACGGUACUGACGCUGAGACGCGAAAGCGUGGGGAGCGAACAGG